rnacentral:lncRNA from 1 species
GGCCUUGUAACUUUGAAAAUGCAAGGAUACAUGUAACUGAAUAUAUCAAAUAGUUAUCAUUACCAAUGAAUAAGAAGAAAUUUUGACAAAUAGUUAAUGAUAUGAUUGCCUGGUGUAAUGUUACUGAAGAAUUUUGGAGAAGUUUAGAGUAUUUUUGUAUUUCACUUUUGAUCUUUACAAUUGGUUUACAUGACUAUUUAUACACAAAGAAUUAUAUUUAAACAGGAAACAAAUAAUUAAAUAAUAAUCACAGAGAUAAUUAAGGAUCCUAAUCAAAUCAAAUCAUAUCCCUAGAAUCAGCUAGAAUUAGCAAAUAAGUCAACACUCCCCCUCAAGUUGGUGCAAAGAUGUCGCACAUGCCCAACUUGCAAAUCAAAUUAUAGUAGAUCUUGUUGUUGAGCCCUUUAGUAAACACAUUCGCAAGUUGCCCAGUAAAAGUCACAUGAACUAAGCUCAAAACACUUUCUGUUAAUUUUUCUUUAAUGAAAUGCCGAUCAAUCUCAAUGUACUUCGUCCGAUCAUGUUGGACUGGAUUUUGUGCUAUACUGAUAGCAGCUUUGUUGUUACAAUACAAAGUUAUCUUGUCUCUUUCGGGCAACCUCAACUCCUCCAAUAACUUCUGCAACCAUAAGAGUUUAUACACACCUUGAGCCAUUGCUCUGUAUUCUGCUUCAGCACUUAACCGAGCAACAAUACUUUAUUUUUUACUCCUCCAGGUGACAAGGUUCCCUCUCACAACUAUGCAAUAGCUAGAGGUGGAUCUCUUGUCAUCGAGAGAUCCUGGGCAAUCUGCAUCUGUAAAAGUUUCAACUCGGAGGUGACCAUGUUUGGAGUAAAGAAGCCCUUUCCCUGGCGUAGACUUUGGGUAUCUCAAGAUGCAAAGUACAGCUUGCAUAUGAGUUUCGCGAGGAUCAUACAUGAAUUGGCUGACUAAGCUAACAGCAUAGGCUAUAUCCGAUCGAGUGUGUGAGAAAUAAAUCAAUCUUCCUACCAAUCUCUAGUAUCUUUCAAUAUUCACGGACUCACUAUUUCCUGCUUCCGGCUUGUGAUUAUUUUCAAUGGGAGAUUCUAUUGGUUUAUACCCCAACAUAUCAGUUUCUUCCAAAAGAUCCAAAAUGUACUUUCUUUAGGAGAUGAGAAUUCAUUUUUUCUAAUCUAGCCACCUCAAUACCUAGGAAAUAUUGCAGUUUUCCUAGAUCUUUAAUUUUAAAUUCUUGAGCCAACAACCUUUUUAGUUGAGUCAUUUCCUCUUUGUCAUCACUUGUCACUACUAUAUCAUCAACAUACACAAUAAGAAGGGUGAUUUUACCCUUGUGAUGUUUGAUAAACAGAGUGUGAUCAGCAUUACUCUGUUGGCAACCAAAAGACAUCAUGGUUUUGCUAAACCUGUCAAACCAAUCUCUGAGAGAUUAUUUUAGCCCAUACAAAGCAUUUUUUAACCUGCACACCUUUCCUUGUGUCUUCUCAUCAGCGAACCCAAGAGGGAUUUCCAUGAACAUUUCUUCCUCUAAAUCUCCAUGGAGGAAAGCAUUCUUCACAUCAAACUGUUGCAAGUCCCAGUCCAAGUUGGUUGUGCAAGAUAAUAGGACUCUGAUUGAGUUUAUUUUUGCAACUAAGGCAAAUGUUUCUUGAUAAUCCAUUCCAUAGGUUUGGGUAAAUCUUUAGCAACCAAUCUGGCCUUAAACCGUUCAAUUGUACCAUCAGCUUUGUGUUUCACUAUGAACACUCACUUGCAGCCAACAAGUUUCUUUCCAGGUGGGAGAGUGAUAAGCUCCCAGGUCUCAUUUUUAGCUAAUGCUUUCAUCUUUUCAAUCAUUGCUCCCUUCCAUUUAGGAUUUGCAAGAGCUUCCUUCCAAUCCCAUGGAAUAGACAUAGAGGAAAUAGACAAGGCAAAGGCUCUAUAGGUGGGAGACAAGGAUUCAUAAGAAAUAAAGUUAGAAAUAUGAUGUUUAGUACAAGAUCUGACCCCUUUUCUUUGUGCAAUAGGUUUAUCUAAGUCAUUGGAGCAUUCAAGAGUUGUGAGUAACUCAACAAAAGAAUAUUCUUGACUCUGAGUAGACUGCAUAAUGGCUUCUUCUGCGUUGUCUCUCCUCAAAUACCUCCUCAAAUCUGGCUUGUCCAAAUAUCCAAUUCUCUCCCCCUGAUUAGACAUAUCCCCAUGUCUACUAGAACUCAAACUCUCUAGCUGAAUCAUAUCAUUCAGAAUCAUAGAAUUCGGGAUCACUUCUUCUUACUCAUUAUUCUCCCCCUGAAGAGGUGAGUGGGUGGUACUGAAGUAGGGUUCAGUUUCUCGGAAGGUAACAUGCAUAUUGACAAAGUAUUUCCUAGACGAAGGGUAAUAACACCUGCAUCCCUUCUGUGUCGGAGAAUACACAACAAACACACAUUUAAAGGUCUUGGGGUCCAACUUCCCUGCCGUCCUAGUAUGGACAAAACAAACACACCUAAAUACUUUUAGUGGAACAAUGUAUGAAUUCUUCCUUUGUAGAAUCUCCAAAGGACUCAUAAAGUUAGAUCCUUGAGGGGUAUUCUAUUGACAAGAUAAACAGAUACAAGGACUGCAUCUCCCCAAUAUGCUUUGGGUAGAUUCAUGGACGUAAGAGAUUGAGCUACCUCCAAUAAAUGUCUUUUCCUUUUAGCAACGCCAUUUUGAGCCCUAGUAUAAGGACAACUAGUCUGGUGUACUAUACCAUUAUUUUCCAAAUAAGUAGAAAAACUACUAUCCAUGUACUCUCUUCCAUUGUCGGUUCUCAAAAUUUUCACCUUAGUAUCAAAUUGAGUACAAAUCAUCUUAUGAAAAGAUUGAAAACAUGAAAAGACAUCACUUUGAGCUUUAAUCAAAUAGACCCAAGUUAUUCGAGUGCAAUAAUCAAUAAAGGUGACAAACUAUCGAUUACCAUAUAAGGAGAUAGCUUGAGUUGGCCCUUAAACAUCAAAAUGAAUAGUCACAAAAGGAAUUUAGCUUUUAUUAUGAGUCAAAGGAUAGGAGGUUCUAGUGUGCUUGGCAUACUCACACGCAUCACAAAAAUAGAGAACUAAACUGAGUUCUAGCAAACAAAUUAGGAUAAAGUUUUUCUAAGAUAAAAAAUGAUGGAUGCCCUAACCACCUGUGCCACUGUAUUAUUUCUUGAUUGACAUCUUUAUUUUCUCCAAAACAGGCUUGAGAUAUCGAAGAGCCUAGAUCAUCUUCCAACAUAUAUAAGUCAUCAUGCAACCUACCAUUGCCAAUCCUCUUCCAUGUGCGAGAUCCUGAAUAACACAAUGAUCAGGAAAUAAUUCAAUUUUACAAUUAAGAGUAUUGGUGAUAGCACUGACAGAUAAAAGAUAGAUACGAAAGCAAGAAACAUGAAGGAUAGAUGAUAAUUUAAUAUUGGGUGUGCAAAUAACAGAACCUGUUCCGGAUAUGAGAGUAAAAGAGCCAUCAGCAAUUCUGACACUACCUUUGGUUAGAGAAGAAAAAUAAUUAAAAAAGCCUUUAGAAGAACCUGUCAUGUGUCUAUUCACACCAGAAUUAAUAAUCCAUGGAACAUUAUCAAGAGAGAAAGUAUUACCUGACUUUAUAAAGUUAGAUGUGGCACCGGAGGAUGAAGACGUGUCAAUACGAGACAAGAGGUGCUUAAGACUGAAUUUCAUUAGGGGAAAGGAACUUAGUUGUUGUUGUCUCCUUAAAGGGCUCCUCCAUAGUUUCUGCUAAAUUAGCGUGAGUUCUGGAGGUACCUCGUUUCCCCCCACAGCCUCUAGUAGGAUGACCAUGUAACUUUCAACAAGUCUCCUUGGUAUGCCUCAGUUUCUCACGAUAGUCAUAGACUCAUAGUGUAGGUGAUCUUUCUCAGAAUUAGGAGGCUACGGUGUGCUCAAACUAAUAGUCAAUCCAGCCUUUUCAACUGGUGUAGUAUAGAGUAUAGCAUGUCGAAGACUUUCCUCUUGUUGAACAUGGCAUGGGCUUCUUCUAGAGAAGGAAAAUGAUUUCUUCCCAACACUUGAACUCGAAUUGGAUGAAAAUCAUAGACCCGCUCCUUUUCAAUCAUUCUCGGAAAUUUGACUGCAUCUCUAGUGCAGUCUGCCCGGAAGUCUUGAUAGUAAUCAAGUUCUUGCCAUAAGCCACAUAAAUCAAAAUAAAAUUGGGAGGUAGUCAUUUCUUCUUGUUUAGUACCAUGGAUCUUAUUCCGAAUAUCAUAAAUUUGGGCAUCAUUCUCAAGCUUGGAAUAAGUUAAGGACAAGGCCUUCCAUAUUUUUGCAACAGUAUCAAUUAAUAAAUAGGACUUAGAGAUAUGAGGUUGCAUAGAGUUAAGUAACCAUGUCAUAACAAGAUAAUUAUCCGAGUCCCAUUGAGAAAAAUCUGGAUCACUCUCAUCCGAUUGCUUCUUAUUACCAGUGACAUAGUCCUGCAGUUCUCUAGCCUUGAUAAACAACAAACAAGACCUUGACUAGCUAAGAUAAUUGGUUCCAUUAAGUUUUAUGGGACUAAUUUGCAAGGAAGGAUUAUCAGAGUUAGGAAUUGAGACUUUUUUACCUUCUGUCAUGGAGACCCGUUUACCUUCUGCCAUAGCAAAGAUAAAUGAGCAGUGAAAGAAUAGGGGUUACCCAAGGUUGUACACAUAAGAGAGCCCAACUAAAUCACCAAAAACCGGGUAGUGGUACGGUAAGGCCGGAAAGACGGUCAGAAUCAUUGCCGGAGUGAUCGGAGCAGCAAAGCAGUGUCAGGCGAUGUAUCACGUGGCGGGAAGGUAAGGCGCGUGAGCCUCACGCGCGGGCUUUUCCGACGUCGGAGCUGGCGGUCGGGCUAACGAUUCCCCUAGUGCCUAUGGUGAGAGGUGGAAAAACUCCUAGAUGAGUUAAUACCAAAAAGGCAAAUAUAAGAUUUUAAAGUCUCAAAGAAGAUAAAAUUGAAUUUAAACCCUAAAAUCAUGAAAAAACUAUGAUACCAUGAAGAAUUUUGGGAAAGUUUAGGGUAUUCUUGUAUUUCAUUCUUGAUUUUUACAAUUGGUUUACAUGACUAUUUAUACACAAAAUAUUAUAUCUAAACAGGAAGCAAAUAAUCAAAUAAUAAUUACAGAGAUAAUUAAGGAUUCUGAUCAAAUAAAAUCAUAUCUUUAAAAUCAGUUAGAAUCAGCAAAUAAGUCAACAGUUACUUUCUCAUGAGAUCGAGUAAUGAAUCUGGUCUGACAGAGAAUUAACUGAUACAAUGUUUUGGUAGAUUUCUAUGUACUCCAAUCUGUAAUUUGAUGGUACUGGUAAACCUAGUCUGACCUGAUAUGAGAAGUAACUCCAAGUAGAGCUGAUAUGGAUGCAACAGGUGUGACAUUAAAGAAAAUUAUGGCAUUGAAAAAGCAUAUUUUUGCAUUUGAAUUCUUUGACAAGAAUUUUGAAUAGGAUUAAAAUAAUACCAAAGUAAGAAAGGC